UACGUAGGGGGCAAGCGUUGUCCGGAAUCAUUGGGCGUAAAGCGCGUGUAGGCGGCUCGGUAAGUCCGCUCUGAAAGUCCAGGGCUCAACCCUGGGAUGCGGGUGGAUACUGCCGGGCUCGAGUCCGGAAGAGGCGAGUGGAAAUUCCCGGUGUAGCGGUGAAAUGCGCAGAUAUCGGGAGGAACACCAAUGGCGAAGGCAGCUCGCUGGGACGUGACUGACGCUGAGACGCGAAGCGUGGGAGCAACAGG
rnacentral:rRNA from 1 species